UUUCCGUAGGUGAACCUGCGGAAGGAUCAUUCCUGAGAUUUGAAUAAAGUUCUUCUUAUCUCUCUGUGCACGUGAAGUCCUCUCUCAAUCGAUCUUACACCUAUGCACCUAUCAGGUCAAACUUGUAUCUAACUGUGUGUACGACAACUAUCUACAGUCUCCUCUUUAUACCAAACAACAGACAUAGAAAGUCUUUUCUGCUUGAUCCAAACUUAACUCAAUACAACUUUCAGCAACGCAUCUCUAGGCCAUCCCAUCGAUGAAGAAUGCAACAGAGCG
rnacentral:misc_RNA from 1 species